rnacentral:rRNA from 1 species
CGGGAGGCAGCAGUGAGGAAUAUUGGUCAAUGGGCGAGAGCCUGAACCAGCCAAGUAGCGUGCAGGAAGACGGCCCUAUGGGUUGUAAACUGCUUUUAUAUGGGGAUAAAGUGCGGGACGUGUCCCGUUUUGUAGGUACCAUAUGAAUAAGGACCGGCUAAUUCCGUGCCAGCAGCCGCGGUAAUACUGCCAGCAGCCGCGGUAAUACUGCCAGCAGCCACGGUAAUAAU